rnacentral:rRNA from 1 species
GACGAACGCUGGCGGCGUGCUUAACACAUGCAAGUCGAACGAUGAAGCCUAGCUUGCUAGGUGGAUUAGUGGCGAACGGGUGAGUAAUACGUGAGUAACCUACCUUUAACUCUGGGAUAAGCCCGGGAAACUGGGUCUAAUACCGGAUACGACCAAUCUCCGCAUGGGGUGUUGGUGGAAAGCGUUAUGUAGUGGUUAUAGAUGGGCUCACGGCCUAUCAGCUUGUUGGUGAGGUAACGGCUCACCAAGGCGACGACGGGUAGCCGGCCUGAGAGGGUGACCGGCCACACUGGGACUGAGACACGGCCCAGACUCCUACGGGAGGCAGCAGUGGGGAAUAUUGCACAAUGGGCGCAAGCCUGAUGCAGCGACGCCGCGUGAGGGAUGACGGCCUUCGGGUUGUAAACCUCUGUUAGCAGGGAAGAAGAGAGAUUGACGGUACCUGCAGAGAAAGCGCCGGCUAACUACGUGCCAGCAGCCGCGGUAAUACGUAGGGCGCGAGCGUUGUCCGGAAUUAUUGGGCGUAAAGAGCUUGUAGGCGGUUUGUCGCGUCUGCUGUGAAAGGCCGGAGCUUAACUCCGUGUAUUGCAGUGGGUACGGGCAGACUAGAGUGCAGUAGGGGAGACUGGAAUUCCUGGUGUAGCGGUGGAAUGCGCAGAUAUCAGGAGGAACACCGAUGGCGAAGGCAGGUCUCUGGGCUGUAACUGACGCUGAGAAACGAAAGCAUGGGGAGCGAACAUG